UUGCCAAUGAUGGUUAUGAAUUUCUUCACCUGAACAAACCAUGUGGCCAUGAUUUAUCUGAGGCAAA
ensembl:snoRNA SNORD36 Small nucleolar RNA SNORD36